rnacentral:rRNA from 1 species
GACGAACGCUGGCGGCGUGCUUAACACAUGCAAGUCGAACGGAAAGGCCCUGCUUUUGUGGGGUGCUCGAGUGGCGAACGGGUGAGUAACACGUGAGUAACCUGCCCUUGACUUUGGGAUAACUUCAGGAAACUGGGGCUAAUACCGGAUAGGAGCUCCUGCUGCAUGGUGGGGGUUGGAAAGUUUCGGCGGUUGGGGAUGGACUCGCGGCUUAUCAGCUUGUUGGUGGGGUAGUGGCUUACCAAGGCUUUGACGGGUAGCCGGCCUGAGAGGGUGACCGGCCACAUUGGGACUGAGAUGCGGCCCAGACUCCUACGGGAGGCAGCAGUGGGGAAUAUUGCACAAUGGGCGGAAGCCUGAUGCAGCAACGCCGCGUGCGGGGUGACGGCCUUCGGGUUGUAAACCGCUUUCGCCUGUGACGAAGCGUGAGUGACGGUAAUGGGUAAAGAAGCACCGGCUAACUACGUG